rnacentral:rRNA from 1 species
GGAGUUAGCCGGUGCUUCUUCUGUGAGUGAUGUCCUUCCUGCCGGCUAUUAACCCGCAGGCCUUCUUCCUCACUGAAAGUGCUUUACAACCCGAAGGCCUUCUUCACACACGCGGCAUGGCUGGAUCAGGGUUGCCCCCAUUGUCCAAUAUUCCCCACUGCUGCCUCCCGUAGGAGUCUGGGCCGUGUCUCAGUCCCAGUGUGGCUGAUCAUCCUCUCAGACCAGCUACGGAUCGUCGCCUUGGUGAGCCGUUACCUCACCAACCAGCUAAUCCGACAUAGGCUCAUCCGAUAGCGCGAGGCCCGAAGGUCCCCCGCUUUCCCCCGUAGGGCGUAUGCGGUAUUAGCCUGGGUUUCCCCAGGGUUAUCCCCCACUACCGGGCAGAUUCCUAUGCAUUACUCACCCGUCCGCCGCUCGCCACCAGGGAGCAAGCUCCCCGUGCUGCCGCUCGACUUGCAUGUGUUAGGCCUGCCGCCAGCGUUCAAUCUGAGCCAGAAUCAAACUCUGA